rnacentral:tRNA from 1 species
GCGGAUAUAGUUUAAUGGUAGAACGUUAGCUUGCCAUGCUAGUAGUACGGGUUCGAUUCCCGUUAUCCGCUCCA